AUGUAAUCAAAAUCAUACUGAUUAAUAAUUACUUACCAAAACAUGAAAUUAGAUGAAUAUUAAUAUUAGUACCAUUAGGUUUUAAUACGGUUUUUUCUUUAUUUUUUAUUUUUUGAGACAGAGUCUUGCACUGUUGCCCAAGCUGGAGUGCAGUGGCGCGAUCUCGGCUCACUGCAACCUCCACCUCCCAAGUUGAAGCAAUUCUCCUGCCUCAGCCUUCCAGAUGGAGUCUUGCUCUGUUGCCCAGGCUGGAAGUGCAAUGGUGUGAUUUCCGCUCGCUGCAACUUCUCCCUCCCUGGUUCAAGCAAUUCUCCUGCCUCAGCCUCCUGAGUAGCUGGGAUUACAGGUGCGUGCUACCACACUGGUUAAUUUUUGUAUUUUUAGUAGAGACGGGAUUUCACCAUGUUGGCCAGGCUGGUCACGAACCCCAGUUUUUUAUUUCUUUUUAAAAAAAUUGUUAAUUUCCAAUGAGCACAAGCCAGGCAGUUCUGUUUUUAUAGUUUCUCCCGUUAGUCAGUUGUGAUAUUUUCUAAGUUUUGAAAUUAUUUCCUCAAAAUCGAGGUAACUGGCCCUUGAUUCUCCUUUCUUGGGCAUCCUUAUAACUGCCAUGUCUUAUGGGCAUUUGUUGUAGUAAUAUCUGCCGUCAUUUUUGCAGUGUAUAUUUCAAACAAAGUUAGUUACAGAGGUUUAGUAACCUUGCCUAUGGUCUGGUCAUUUAGCUAAGAAGUGACAGCACUGAGUUAAACACCACCUUGUUUCCCAGCCACACACAUAUCCAUUAAAUUCCUGAGUCUUAUGAAUUACCAAAUACUUUUGUCUGUCCCAUCUGCCUCUUAAAUGUUUAUAGUGGAGAAUGUAUUUUAAUAGUUUUCUGGAUUAAAAUAAUCAUGCUCCUUUCUCCUUUAAAACAAAUGGUUUCCUGUAUUGAUAGUGUUUUGAAUCAUGGGAGUAAAGGCCAAGUUAGGUUAAGGUACAAACUCUGAAGCUAAACACAGCUUCUGUAGGGUCCAGCCCCAUGGGCCUUAGGGGGUGUUCUCCCCGUGUGCAGAGACGAGAGAUUGUAAGAAAUAAAGACACAAGACAAAGAGAUAAAGAGAAAACAGCUGGGCCUGGGGGGGGCCACUGGGUGUGCUGAUAUUUAUUGCAUGCAAGACAAGGGGGCAGGGUGAGGAAGGUGAGUCCUCCAAGUGAUUGAUAAGGUCAAGCAAGUCAUAUGAUCACAAGACGGGGCUCUUCCCUUUUAGGUAGCCGAAGCAGAGAGGGAAGGCAGCAUACGUCAGCAUUUUCUUCUAUGCACUUAUCAGAAAGAUCAAAGACUUUAAGACUUUCACUAUUUCUUCUACUGCUAUCUUCUAAGAACUUCCAAGAGGAACUAGGGGUACGGGAGGAACAUGAAAGUGGACAAGGAGCGUGACCAUUGAAGCACAGCACCACAGGGGAGGGGUUUAGGCCUCCGGAUGACUGCGGGCAGGCCUGGAUAAUAUCCAGCCUCCCACAGGAAGCUGGUGGAGCGGAGUGUUCCCUGACUCCUCCAAGGAAAGGGAGACUCCCUUUCGUGGUCUGCUAAGUAACGGGUGCCUUCCCAGGCACUGGCGUUACUGCUUGACCAAGGAGCCCUCAACUGGCCAUUAUGCAGGCGUGACAGAAGGCUUACCUCUUGCCGCCUUGGUUACUUCUCACAAUGUCCCUUCAGCACCUGACCCUAUACCUGCUGGUUAUUCCUUGAUUAUAUUAGUAGUACAAUAAAGAGUAAUGUUAAAAGCCAAUGAUUAAUAAUGUUUAUACUAAUGACUGAUAAUGUCCAUGAUAAUCUCUGUAUCGAAUUUGUAUUAUAACUUUUCUUAUUCUAGCUAUUUUCUUCAUUAUACUGAAACAGUUUGUGCCUUCA